CCAUCCGAUACUGUUGGGCUGGAGUGCAGCAGGGGGAAACGGAAUUCCCGGUGUAGUGGUGAAAUGCGUAGAUAUCGGGAGGAACACCAGAGGCGAAGGCGGUUUUCCAGGCUGUUACUGACACUGAGGCCCGAAAGCGUGGGGAGCGAACAGGAUUAGAUACCCUGGUAGUCCACGCUGUAAACGAUGGACACUAGGUAUAGGGAGUAUCGACCCUCUCUGUGCCGAAGCCAACGCUUUAAGUGUCCCGCCUGGGGACUACGGCCGCAAGGUUAAAACUCAAAGGAAUUGACGGGGGCCCGCACAAGCAGCGGAGCGUGUGGUUCAAUUCGAUGCAACACGAAGAACCUCACCAAGGCUUGACAUACAAGAAGUAGUGAACCGAAAGGGGAACGACCUGUUAAGUCAGGAGCUUGAACAGGUGCUGCAUGGUUGUCGUCAGCUCGUGCCGUGAGGUGUUGGGUUAAGUCCCGCAACGAGCGCAACCCUCGUUGCCAGUUGUUUUCUCUGGCGAGACUGCCCCGCAAGACGGGGAGGAAGGUGGGGAUGACGUCAAAUCAGCACGGCCCUUAUGCCUUGG
rnacentral:rRNA from 1 species